rnacentral:rRNA from 1 species
UACGUAGGGCGCAAGCGUUGUCCGGAAUUAUUGGGCGUAAAGAGCUCGUAGGCGGUUUGUCGCGUCUGUCGUGAAAGCCCACGGCUUAACCGUGGGUCUGCGGUGGAUACGGGCAGACUAGAGGCAGGUAGGGGAGAAUGGAAUUCCCGGUGUAGCGGUGAAAUGCGCAGAUAUCGGGAGGAACACCAGUGGCGAAAGCGGCUUCCUGGUCCAGCACCGACGUUCAGGCACGAAAGCGUGGGGAGCAAACAGG